rnacentral:lncRNA from 1 species
AAUGAAGAACCAAUGUCAGUGUGAUUAGGAGCUGGUGAGAUUCUUGUUUAAGUCAUGUGAUAUGAUUAAUCUUAAUAGAUGAAGCCAGAUAAUCUUAGCUGGAGUAAGACUCAUUCAUUAGAUGUGAGGACCUUUUCCUUACCCCUAAAUGUAGCAUCUCUUCUAUGGAACCCAAAGCUUCAGAGUCUGUAAUGUAUUACAGUACUCUACUGCAAUUAUAAUGCUUCUAAACUGUUUACUGAACUUUCUUCAUACUUGGAUUACUGACAGGGUGAUGUUCUUUGGUUAGCACUCAAGUUCUCCUGUGAUCUAACCCAAAUUUGCAUAAAAUUUUCCUAUUUUAUUUCUUGAUAUUCCCUUUUACAAACUAAAUGACUUGCUUUUUCCAAUGCAUGAUAAUCUCUUUUUUUUAUGCAGUUUACACUGCUUGAAAUGAUUUCCCUUCCCUUUCUAUACUUUGAAAUCUCAUCUAUCCUUUAACAGUUUAAUGGAUUCUCCAUCUGGAAUCUCCUUCUUUAGUCAUUUCUUCAAGUCAUUACUCAUUUUACCUAGCUAGAAAUCUAUUCUUUAUUUCUCUGUCUAUCUAUUGAUUAUCUAUUUAUCCAUCAUCUAUAUACCCAUUCCCUAAGGUACUUGGUAUUUAUUAUAUACUGAAUAAGUGGAUGAAUGGUAAAAUGGGAGGAUAACAGACAUUAUAUGGGGAUAUGAACAACCAAUAAAGUAAAAGUGGUCUUGAGUAGAUUCUAUAGUCUGCUUUUGACAAAAUAUUAAAUCCAAUGUAAAUGUGCCUUGUUUGACUUGGUCUAGAACCUGGGAGGCUGUCUGGUGGCAUCCCAGGCUGCUGUCAUAUGUGAGAUAAUCUGGAACAAGCUUUCCUUUUAGAAUUUAAUACUUCUAGCUGAUGUGUCCAAGCUACCUCAUCAGGGUGUAGACUAUGCUGACCUCUCUUACUUGAUACCCAUUGGUAUGCUGAGGUUGGAUCUUGUUUCCUACCUGAGCUCUAAAGAUAAGAAAGCUAAUACUUUUAAUAGGGCUGUUGUGCCUCUGAUUAGUUGAAUCUGAUGCUUUCAAAAUCGCUGCUUUUCCCCUGGUGUGGGCAGCACAUGAUUUAUUUUUAAAUGCCAUUCUUUCAGAAUAUUUUCCACAAGUAAAGGGUAUGCUGAGAGAAAAAAAAAAUUAAGGCAUUGAUUUAAAAAUAAGUCCUGGUACCUCAGGAAAACGCAAGCACCAAGAUGCAGUGGUUGUUAGAAGUGAAUUGUGAGAGCAUAUAGCUUGGUCUCAGUAACAUGACACACUCAUAUCUGAUGAGACUAGAGGGAGAAAAUAGCACUUCAGGCCCAGAGACAGGUUUAGUUAUGAGUUGAAGGUGAAGUCAGUACUAUUUAAAGUUUCAUUUUAUUUAUAGAACUCACUAGUAAGUGUAGGGUUUCCAAGAAGGUAGAAGACGUGGCUUCUGAUCCAGCACCCUUUCAAAAUAAUAAAUAUGAUGAAGCUAAUGCAAGUAUUAUUAAUACAUAUAUACUGAAACUUAUAGCUGAAUAUACAGAGUAAGUAGGGUACUAAUGAAUUUACCUAAUUGGAAAUCUCAUAUAAAGGAAAAUUUCUAACUAUUCUAUACAAUGUAUGGGACAGUGCCUCAGGGAAAGUAUUGUUGUUGCCUAGAAAUUCCAUUGGACCUCAUAACUAGACCAAGGAAAAGAAGGAAAUCAUCUCUGAAAACCACUGGAGUAGAUUCAGGAAUUACUAGACCAAGGAGGCUGACGAGAGGGAGAUAAGAGUAUCUAGAAAAUGUUGCUAAAACAGUCUGUUCCCCCGUAACACUCAUAGACCCAACCCCUACCUGAAUCCCUGCCUUACAUCAAGUCUUCUUCUCAAUCUGUUAGGAACCUUCUUUCUAUGAUAUUAUAAUGCAAUUGCUCUGUGAUUUGAUAAUAGAAGUUAAGCCUAUACAUUUUCAUAAUCACCUUCUCUAGAAUACAUCCAUUAUGCAAAGGAAGGAAACUUGUAUGGCAAUAAUGAUGAUGUUUUAUUUUAGGUGUACUAAGCUUUCGCUUAUAUUAUCUCAUUUGGUCCUCACAAUAAACCUCUGAGGUAGGUGCUAUCAAUUUUAGAGGUGAGGAAAAGGGAGUCCUAGAAAAAUUUCAUAACAUUUUAUUUAGAGUUUCUCUGUCUCUUUCUCUCCCUCUCUCUCUCUCACACACACACAGAGUAAUAGAAAGAUGAUAGAUUAAAAAAAAAAAAAAAGCUUGGUGUAUGGUUUGCACUCCUGAGUAAGGGUCACAUAAACCUAAUCUGGAAAAUGAUAUUAAGGGAGGUUUGAAAUCAGUCUGAUUUAGAUUUGAGUCUUCAUCUGCCUUUUACUAGAUUCAUAACAUUUGGCAAGUUUUUCAACAUUCCCAAGUCUGAGUUUUUUCAUCUACAAAAUAGGAAUAACAACAACACAGCAAUAGAAGUAUUUUGAGAAUUAAAUAAAAAUAGUAUAGGUAACCUGCCUAACUCAUAGAAAGCAAUCAAUGGAAGUUAGCCAUAACACAGAUAACGAUUAUAACUAUCAACUUAUUUUCAUUAACAGUGGCAACAAAGGUGGCAGAUGCUUAAAUUUAUUGAAAGGAGGAUAAAGUACUUUAAAAAUGUACAGUAAGAAUAAUGCUCGGGUAUCUGCAUGGAAAAAAGUGUUAAUACUCUUUUUCAGAAAAUGAUCCUCAAUAAAGGAUUAAAUGGUAUAAUCACCAGAUCAAUUUCCUUAAAAAAAAAAAACACCAAGUAUAUCACCUCUCUGUAUUCUUCCUUCAACUUCCUUAGCUUUUGAAGAUGUUCUAAAGCCAAGUACUUUGCAAAGAAGCGUUUCUGUGUGUUCAGAAAAUCAGAGCAUUUGAGGCUUCUAAAAAUAAUUUCAGUGCAAAUAUUAUAAUAAUUGUGGGGCAUCUUGAGGCCCCCUCUGCUCCAACUCCAUGGAGAUCAUAAGGUGGCAUGGGGAUCAUGCUUUCAGGGAGCAAUACCAGAAGAAAGAAGACCUAUAAAUUUUUAAGAAGUGUCACAUAUAGCUUAUGCCAUUCCAAGAAUGUCCUAGAAAUAAAAAAUGGAAUGGAGAUGGAGGAUGGCCGUGAAGUUAUAUAGCAAAACAGCUCAUGGCGUUGUUUUUAGGUCACUCUGCCAACAAGAAUGAGAAGGAUCUUUCUUACUCCUGACAGAGCAGAGGAGACUGCAAACUGGGCACAACCCACCAAAAAUUCAACAGUAUAUUGUUGGGUUAGAGAAUUACAAGUUUUUCUUUUUUACUCUAUUUAUGAUUUUUUAAGAAAAAUAAAAAUUUCUCAUAACCUAAUCCUUAUUGACAUUAAUUUUUGUUGAAGUAUAAUUUAUGUACAAUAUUAUAUAUUAUUUGUGUAUAAUAUAGAGAUUCACAAUUUUUAAAGGCUGUACUCAAUUUAUAGUUAUUAUAAAAUAUUGGCUGUAGUUCCCACAUUAUACAACAUAUCCUUAUAGCUUAUUUAAUACCUAAGAGUUUGUAUCUCUUAAUCCCUUACCCCUAUCCUGCCCCUCCCGCCUUCUCUCUCCCCAGUGGUAACCACUAGCUUGUUCUCUAUACCUGUGAGUUGGCUUCUUUUUUGUUAGAUUCACUAGUUGUAUGUAUUUUUUAGAUUCCACAUACAAGUAAGUGAUACCAUACAGUAUUUGCCUUUCUCUAUUUGCCUUAUUUCACUUAGUAUAAUGCCCGCCAAGUACAUACAUGUUGCUGCAAAGGGCAAAAUUUCAUUCUUUUUUAUGGCUGUAUACUGCUGUAUUCCAUUUUGUGUGUGUGUGUGUGUGUGUGUGUGUACCACAUGUUUAUCCAUUCAUUUGUUGAUGGACACAAUUGUAAAUAACGGUGCUAUGAACAUUGUGGUGCAUUUAUCUUUUCAAAUUAGUGUUUUUGUUUUUUUCAGAUAUAUGUCCAAAAGUGAAAUUACUGGGUUAUAUGGUAGUUCUAUUUUUAGUUUUUUGAGACUCCUCCAUACUUUUCUCCAUGAUGGCUACACCAAUUUACGUUCCUGCCAACAGUGUACAAGGUUUCUCCCCUCUCCACAUCCUUGACAUUAUUUGUUAUUUGUGUUCUUUUUGAUGAUAGCCAUUCUGACAAGUGUGAGGUGGUAUCUCAUUGUGCUUUUGAUUUGCUUUUCUCUGAUAAUUAGUAAUGUUGAGCACCUUUCCAUGUGCAUGUCGGCCAUCUACAUUUCCUUCUUGGAAAAAUGUCUAUUUAGUCUUCUGCCCAUUUUUUCAAUCAGGUGUUUUUUUUGUUUUUUUUUUUUUUGAUGUUGAAUUAUAUGAGUCGUUUAUACAUGUUGAAUAUUAACCCCUUAUUCAUAUCAUUUGCAAAUAUUUUUCUCCAACUCAGUAGAUUGUCUUUUUGUUUUGUCAGUGGUUUCUCUUUGCUGUGCAAAAGCUUUUAGGUUUAAUUAGGCCCCAUUUGUUUAUUUUUGCUUUUAUUUAUUUGCUUUAGGAGACAAUCCAAAAAAAUAUUGCUACAAUUUAUGUCAAAGACUGUUCUGUUUUCCUCUAGAAGUUUUAUAGUAUCUGGUCUUAACAUUUAGGUCUUUAACCCACUUUGAAUUUAUUUUUGUAUAUGGUGUUAGAGAAUGUUCUACUUUUAUUUUUAACAUGUAGCUGCCCAGUUUUCCCAGCACCUUGGCAUUAAUUUUAAACAUAUAAUUGAAAAAUAUUUAAUUAAAAGUAAAAUUCUUCUCAUCCCUCUAAACUAAUGGUCUUUAUAUCCUCCUCCCCCACAAAAUAUAUAUAUGCCAGUAUAUAUCUAUAUGUCCUCGUUGUAUUCAUACAGAGGGAUUGUGCCAUAUAUAUCUUAUAUCUUAUUGUAUAGCAUAUAAAUCUCUUACUCUUUUAAACAACUCCACAGCAUUUCUUGUAGGGGUGUAUCAUGGGUGUUUAACCAGUUGCUGAAUAUUUGAUGAACACUAUUACUUUUAUAAUCAGAAAAAUUUAAUACCCUUUUUAUGUGUUUGCUAGACCUUAGCCUAGAGUGAACCAAAACCUCUCUGCUUAUUACAUAAUCACAGGAGGGGGGAAAAUCACUCUGUGUUUGUAUGUUUGUGUAUUUGUAGGAACAUAUUAUAGAUGAAUGUCUUGAUCUAUAAUAUUACCGUAUGAAAUGUCAGAAUGGCCAGAGGUAAGGUGGAUAAUGUCUCCUGUGAACUGGCUGACUUGUGGCCUCAUAUGGAAAUUAGCAUACUUCUUUAAAGUUUUAAUGCAGUCACUGAUUGUAAUAUCUGAGAUUUUACUGCAGUUUCCAUUUGAGUUAAAACUGAUUUUUGUCUUCAAAAUAAAAGCCUUUAAAAAGAGAAAAUAAUUAUUUUUCCCAUGGCAGGAACUCUAAAUUCUUUCAUUUUAUCACCUGUCAUAAAAAAGAAAAGUACUAAGAAUCAUUGAAACAUUGAUGCAAAAACAAAACCCCUGUUGAAUUUUUGAGCUUUGGAACUUUAUUAUCCAAGUACCUGCUAAUGUCCCAGGUAUCCAAGACAAAGAGAGCCAGAUGCAGAAAAAUAAUUUAUAUCAAAACUUACUGAGCAGCUAGUAAUAAUGCAAGUGAGGCUUUUCAAAACCAUAUUGCUGCAGCUUAAAAAAAAUUACCCUUGUGAUUUUGAAUAGGAGCAAGAAAUUUUGUUUGUGGGCAUUGGCCUGAUUGCUCUAUGUAAAAUGUGGAAAUUGCACAGCUCUAAUACAGAAAAGGGAAUGCACAAGCAAGCCAUAUUCUAACUAUUCUAACCUUGAAAAUGUGGUUGCUUUUAGUGACACAGUGCAUCAAGGUCAAGAGAAGGUGCCCUCAGCAGAUGGAAGACUUUCAAAGUGAAAAGGCUUCAUUUACAUUUAAAAUAUAUUGAGUUACACAUGAUUUCUAAGGAACACUUGGUUGUUCUAGUUAUAACCAUGGCUCAUUUCUGUUAUCAUGUGUCAAGUAACUGACUUACCUCAUAUAUUUCCCUGGGCAGGUGUUUUCUGUGGAAAAGCAGGGAGAGAGAGGUGAAGGAGGAAGUUAUUCCUCAAUAUCUUAUUAUAAACCCACUAGGUGUCACUGCUUUCAGUGGGACUCUGCAAAGGAAACUGUCAGAGGACACAUCUGUGCCUUGGCAAAAAAUGGAUUUCAUGGCACCUUGGCUUUUAACCUCUCAUAUGCAUAGAGAACUGCUUAGGAGAUGUUUUCCUGUUUAUUUGUACCUGUGGGUCCCUUACUUUAUGUUGAAUUUUUUAAGAUUGAGUUCUGCAGUAUUUAUAUUUGAACCAUAUUUUGUUCAGAAAUAGUUUGCCGAAGCUAUUAUUUCACUUGAAUCUCCCUUAAAUUCUAAAUAUACUAUGAAAUUAUUAAAGGUGAUUUAGUGUUUGGUAACACUGAACACAUUCAGAGGCACUUUAGAUAUGUGCUACCACAUGCUUUCAUGUCAGUAAUAUGAAAUUGAUUUCUUUCUUUUUUUUUUUCUUAUCCUGCUUCUCAUUCUGUGUUCUUUCUCUCUUCUUGCUCUUCCUUUCUCUCUCCCUGUUUCAUGAAAAUUCAUUUAUCUGUGACAUUUAAAGACUCUGUCUGAGAGGUGUCUGGAGCUGUGGCCGGCUGUGUACAUCAACAGUUUCUUAGAAUCUGGCACUCUGUCAAUAUUUGGGGGCCUCAGUAACCACACGUAAAUGUAGUGCCUGCCAGCCAUCAUGCUCUUAGUGUCUUAGAAUGAGUCCAAAUAAGUGGAUAUUAGCAGAUCUUUUCACAACUGCAAUGCUUGGUAGACAGUAUGUGGGCAUCUUGCAUUCACCCUCUGCACUUUUCUGUUUGUCUGCUUCAUUUAUAUGGUGUCAUUUUCCCCUCUAUAUACAAAAAUAGAAAUCU